CUACGUGCCAGCAGCCGCGGUAAUACGUAGGUGGCAAGCGUUGUCCGGAAUUAUUGGGCGUAAAGCGCGCGCAGGCGGAUWGGUCAGUCUGUCUUAAAAGUUCGGGGCUUAACCCCGUGAUGGGAUGGAAACUGCCAAUCUAGAGUAUCGGAGAGGAAAGUGGAAUUCCUAGUGUAGCGGUGAAAUGCGUAGAUAUUAGGAAGAACACCAGUGGCGAAGGCGACUUUCUGGACGAAAACUGACGCUGAGGCGCGAAAGCCAGGGGAGCGAACGGGAUUAGAUACCCCGGUAGUCCUGGCCGUAAACGAUGGGUACUAGGUGUAGGAGGUAUCGACCCCUUCUGUGCCGGAGUUAACGCAAUAAGUACCCCGCCUGAGGAGUACGACCGCAAGGUUGAAACUCAAAGGAAUUGACGGGGGCCCGCACAAGCGGUGGAGUAUGUGGUUUAAUUCGACGCAACGCGAAGAACCUUACCAGGUCUUGACAU
rnacentral:rRNA from 1 species